rnacentral:rRNA from 1 species
AGAUUGAACGCUGGCGGCAUGCCUUACACAUGCAAGUCGAACGGCAGCACGGGAGCAAUCCUGGUGGCGAGUGGCGAACGGGUGAGUAAUACAUCGGAACGUGCCCAAUCGUGGGGGAUAACGCAGCGAAAGCUGUGCUAAUACCGCAUAAGAUCUACGGAUGAAAGCAGGGGAUCGCAAGACCUUGCGCGAAUGGAGCGGCCGAUGGCAGAUUAGGUAGUUGGUGAGGUAAAGGCUCACCAAGCCUUCGAUCUGUAGCUGGUCUGAGAGGACG